GAGAGACUCUACCAGAUGACCUGAAUAAAAAUCAUGCUCUCUGUCUGGCCUCCUUGAACACAUUCUGAAGAGGGUGUGGCAUUGUGCUCCUGUUGGCGCAGCUGCCUUUCAGAGUUCAGGGAACAUCACCUGCACAGGAUCAUGGUGACACAUCCACAUCAGCAAGAUGUCAGAAGAAAUGCCUGAACUUCUUAAAAUGGUCGUUGCAAGAGGCAGCAGCCUAAGCAAAGAGGUCCAGACUUCCCUCUACACAGCCACUUGGUCCAGUUCCUCUGGGGGAAUCUUCCUCUGGGUUUCCUCCCAGUGGGUUGUGCCUGGAUCAUCUCACCGGAAAGGCUUCCAGCAGGCAUCCUAACCAGCCACCUCAACUGGUGCCUGUUGAUGUGGAGAAAUAGUGGCUCUAAUAUGACCAAGCUUCAGACACCCUACGGAGAAAACUUAUUUUAUCUGCUUGUAUCCAUGAUCUUGUUCUUUAGGUCACUGCCCAAAACACAAGAGAGCAGCGAUUUUACCUCUAAUUCCAGUUUUCCCUCAUUCGAGAA